rnacentral:rRNA from 1 species
UACGUAGGGAGCGAGCGUUGUCCGAAGUUACUGGGCGUAAAGCGCGCGUAGGCGGGCUGUUAAGUGAGAGGUGAAAGGCUGGGGCUCAACCCCAUGCAGUGCCUCUCAUACUGGCGGUCUUGAAUUCGGCAGGGAGAAGUGGAAUGGCUGGUGUAGCGGUGAAAUGCGUAGAUAUCAGUCGGAACACCGGUGGCGAAGGCGGCUCUCUGGGACGGUACUGACGCUGAGACGCGAAAGCGUGGGGAGCGAACAGG